AUUGAACGCUGGCGGCAUGCCUUACACAUGCAAGUCGAACGGCAGCACGGGAGCAAUCCUGGUGGCGAGUGGCGAACGGGUGAGUAAAGUAUCGGAACGUGCCCAGUCGUGGGGGAUAACGUAGCGAAAGUUACGCUAAUACCGCAUACGAUCUAUGGAUGAAAGCGGGGGAUCGCAAGACCUCGCGCGAUUGGAGCGGCCGAUAUCAGAUUAGGUAGUUGGUGGGGUAAAGGCUCACCAAGCCGACGAUCUGUAGCUGGUCUGAGAGGACGACCAGACACACUGGGACUGAGAAACGGCCCAGACUCCUACGGGAGGCAGCAGUGGGGAAUUUUGGACAAUGGGCGAAAGCCUGAUCCAGCCAUGCCGCGUGCAGGAUGAAGGCCUUCGGGUUGUAAACUGCUUUUGUACGGAACGAAAAGGUUUGGCCUAAUAAGCUGAGCUCAUGACGGUACCGUAAGAGUAAGCACCGGCUAACUACGUGCCAGCCGCCGCGGUAA
rnacentral:rRNA from 1 species